rnacentral:misc_RNA from 1 species
CCCUGAUUAACACCAUAUCCCUCCUGAAAGACCACAUUAUCCCCAAUUUGCAAGCUCUGAUCAUUAGGCUCAGGCUUUGGUGCAGCUAAUGCACUAGUGGCAUCAUCUUCCUCUUCGCAGAGCUGCAACAACCUACAUAUAUCUGACGAGAAUGACCCAAGACUUCCACCUUGUUGCAAAGAAGAAGCUGGAGACGGCUCAUUGAGCUCAGCUUUCCAUUCACGAAGCAUCUGGUGAAC